CACAUUGUUCUUUAAAUGAGGACCAGUAUCAACGGCAUCACGAGGAUCCUACUGUCUCCCCCCUCUAAUCAGUGAAACUGAUCUCUCCGUGAAGAAGCGGGGAUGAACAUAUAAGACGAGAAGACCCCAUGGAGCUUUAAACCCGACAGCACCCGCUCAUUCUAAACCCAAUUAUACGCCCGUACCUGUCUGCUCGGUUUUAGGUUGGGGUGACCGCGGAGUAUAAAAUAACCUCCAUGAAGAAAGGGAUAAAUGCCCUUAUUAGAGAAAGACACUUCCAAAAACUAACAAAUUAAUUUUUAAUGAUCCGAUAUUCGAUCAACGAACCAAGUUACCCUGGGGAUAACAGCGCAAUCCACCUCGAGAGCUCCUAUCGACAGGCGGGUUUACGACCUCGAUGUUGGAUCAGGGUAUCCCAGUGGUGCAGCAGCUACCAAAGGUUCGUUUGUUCAACGAUUAAAACCCU
rnacentral:rRNA from 1 species